rnacentral:lncRNA from 1 species
CUGGCUCCUCCUCCUCCUCCACCUGCCAAUCCACAGCCAAUGCCUAAUCCAGCACCACCUAGUCCGCAAAAAGCUAGUGCAGCAACUUCAAAUAUUGGAUGGUAAUCAUUCACAAGUUGAUUCUUAAUGCUAAUUAUAAAAUGAUAGUAUUUUUUAUUUUAUGGUUUAAGGGUACAAAAUAAGCAGAAUAAAGAAGAGGUAAAUCCACUGGAAAAACUAUAACAUUAUUACUUACUUCCUGAAUUGCAUAUGCAGUUAUCUAAAAAUUUCAUUCUUCCAUGCAUAAUAAUGAACUACUGGUCUAAUACUUCCCCUCUUUAAAUUAGCUUGUCACGAUUGAAUUUAAAAGUACAGAAAUUUUUUAGGACUUCAACUAUUUACGAUGAUAAUGGCUUGGAUUAGACGAGGUGCGAUUGUAUAAGCUUACCAAAUAACUCUUGAUAUUUAACAGUAGCGUAAUAUCUAGAAGUAAAUGUCUAUUUUUUUCAAAGAGAAUUUGAACUUAGAACCUCUAUAUUCUAGGGAAAGGUGACAUUUGUGAUGAUUUUGAAAAGGUGAUUUCAUUUUAGGACAUCCAAUAAACAGAAAUAUAAUAGACUAGCUUUGGAUUGAAGGGAGGAUAUAUCUACAUGUGAAUUACUAUGGUUUAGGAAGAAGAUACAUUUCUGGGAUAAAAUUGAUUUCUAUAUCAUUUUUCUAAUAUCCUCAUUUGCACUUUGUCAGGUUUCUAAUCGUCCUUGGCUUUCUCAUGGCUCUAUAGAUGAAGCACUAAUUGCUGCGGAUAGUGAUCAGGGAUAAUGAAACAGAAAUUUUCCGAUAAUUGCUG